GAAACGGGAACCCGGCACCGCGACAGCGGGUCAGACCAGGAGUGCCCCACCGCAAGGUGAGGCGGCA
ncrna:Frankia sp. QA3 Transposase-2 RNA